rnacentral:rRNA from 1 species
AACGAACGCUGGCGGCAUGCCUAACACAUGCAAGUCGAACGAGACCUUCGGGUCUAGUGGCGCACGGGUGCGUAACGCGUGGGAAUCUGCCCUUGGGUUCGGAAUAACAGUUGGAAACGACUGCUAAUACCGGAUGAUGACGUAAGUCCAAAGAUUUAUCGCCCAAGGAUGAGCCCGCGUAGGAUUAGCUAGUUGGUGAGGUAAAGGCUCACCAAGGCGACGAUCCUUAGCUGGUCUGAGAGGAUGAUCAGCCACACUGGGACUGAGACACGGCCCAGACUCGUACGGGAGGGAGGAGUGGGGAAUAUUGGACGCGGGGCGAAAGCCUGAUCACGCAAUGCCGCGUGAGUGAUGAAGGCGUUAGGGUUGUAAAGCUCUUUUAGCCGGGAUGAGAAUGACAGUACCGGGUGAAUAAGCACCGGCUAACUCCGUG